rnacentral:rRNA from 1 species
AGUGAACGCUGGCGGUAGGCCUAACACAUGCAAGUCGAACGGCAGCACAGUAAGAGCUUGCUCUUACGGGUGGCGAGUGGCGGACGGGUGAGGAAUACAUCGGAAUCUACUUUUUCGUGGGGGAUACCGUGGGGAACCUUACGCUAAUACGCCAUACGACCUACGGGUGAAAGCAGGGGAUCUUCGGACCUUGCGCGAUUGAAUGAGCCGAUGUCGGAUUAGCUAGUUGGCGGGGUAAAGGCCCACCAAGGCGACGAUCCGUAGCUGGUCUGAGAGGAUGAUCAGCCACACUGGAACUGAGACACGGUCCAGACUCCUACGGGAGGCAGCAGUGGGGAAUAUUGGACAAUGGGCGCAAGCCUGAUCCAGCCAUACCGCGUGGGUGAAGAAGGCCUUCGGGUUGUAAAGCCCUUUUGUUGGGAAAGAAAAGCAGCAGGUUAAUACCCCGCUGUUCUGACGGUACCCAAAGAAUAAGCACCGGCUAACUUCGUG